CACAUGCACUAGAUAUCGACCCAGAAGAAUUACCAGAUGAUGAGAAUCUGAAAGCUCUUCGAUUUUGAACUAAAUUUCGCGGUUGAGUUCGAGUUAACGUAAUGAAACACUCUAUCAACUUUAUUAUUGAUAACGAACUUCUUGUAGAUUUUCACUUUUUCUUGGGAAUAUUUCAUUCCGUUUAUGCAAACAACCCCGAUGUCAUAAAUAUUUUUAAGCCUAGUUCUACAUUUGUUCCAAGAAGCGACGUUCACUGCGGAUGAGGUAUCUAUGCAUUCUCUUCUAUUUCUAAGAACUUUUAAUAAACAUUUUUAAGCCUAGUUCUACAUUUUUUCCACGAAGCGACGCUUACCGAGAACUUCUAUUUUUAACUCGAGCUCCUCGCUAACUGAAACUGUAUUUUUGCGAGGUGGGUCGGCAAACCUCAAAAUAUCAGAACAUAUCAUAUAUUGACGAAAACUUGGAUUUCUAUUUAGACAACAUCAAUUUAAUCGGUAUAAUAAACGUAAUAUAAGGCUCCGCAAGUUGCGUCGAUCAUUACUGAUCUAGCUGACAUUAG